AGGAACGCGAAGAACCUUACCAGGUCUUGACAUCUUUUGAUCACCUGAGAGAUCAGGUUUCCCCUUCGGGGGCAAAAUGACAGGUGGUGCAUGGUUGUCGUCAGCUCGUGUCGUGAGAUGUUGGGUUAAGUCCCGCAACGAGCGCAACCCUUAUGACUAGUUGCCAGCAUUUAGUUGGGCACUCUAGUAAGACUGCCGGUGACAAACCGGAGGAAGGUGGGGAUGACGUCAAAUCAUCAUGCCCCUUAUGACCUGGGCUACACACGUGCUACAAUGGAUGGUACAACGAGUUGCGAGACCGCGAGGUCAAGCUAAUCUCUUAAAGCCAUUCUCAGUUCGGACUGUAGGCUGCAACUCGCCUACACCAAGUCGGAAUCGCUAGUAAUCGCGGAUCAUCACGCCGCGGUAAAUACCUUCCCGGGUCUUGUA
rnacentral:rRNA from 1 species